UACAUAGGGAGCAAGCGUUAUCCGGAUUUAUUGGGUGUAAAGGGUGCGUAGAUGGGAAUGCAAGUUGGUUGUGAAAUCCCUCGGCUUAACUGAGGAACUGCAACCAAAACUAUAUUUCCUGAGUGUUGGAGAGGAAAGUGGAAUUCCUAGUGUAGCGGUGAAAUGCGUAGAUAUUAGGAGGAACACCAGUGGCGAAGGCGACUUUCUGGACAAUAACUGACGUUGAGGCACGAAAGUGUGGGGAG
rnacentral:rRNA from 1 species